UGGCAGGGGUAGGGGAGCGUUCCAAACGAGUGAAGGGUGACGGUAACGACACCUGGACGUUCUGGAAGUGAUAAUGCCGGGAUGAGUAGCGAUAAAGCGGGUGAGAAUCCCGCUCGCCGAAAACCCAAGGUUUCCUGGGCACGGUAAAUCCGCCCAGGGUUAGUCGGACCCUAAGGCGAGGCCGAAAGGCGUAGUCGAUGGACAGCAGGUUAAUAUUCCUGCACCACUAGGGCACGUUUGACCAAUGGGGUGACGCGGAAGGAAGUGUCAGCGGACUGACAGAUAUGUCCGUGUAAGCCUGAGGACGGCUCGUAGGAAAAUCCGCGAGCGUAACUCCAAAGGUGAUGCCGAGCGCAAAAGCGCGAAGUGAUAGGACUGACCGCCGAGAAAAACCUCUAGGGAGUGUUCCUGGUGUCCGUACCAAAACUGACACAGGUGGGUAGGGUGAGAAUCCUAAGGCGCUCGAGAGAACUACUGUGAAGGAACUCGGCAAAAUGAACCCGUAACUUCGGGAUAAGGGUUGCCCUCGGAGGUGUAUGCUUCUGGGGGCCGCAGAGAAAUGGCGCUAGCGACUGUUUACUAAAAACACAGGACUCUGCUAAAUUAUACAAUGAUGUAUAGAGUCUGACGCCUGCCCAGUGCUGUAAGAUAAAAAAUUACAAGUGUAGCUUGUUGAUUUAAGUCCCAGUAAACGGCGGCUGUAUCCUGACGGUCCGAAGGUAGCGAAAUUCAUUGGCGGGUAAGUUCCGUCCUGCAUGAAUGGCGUAACGACUGCCUCACUGUCUCCAGCUACAAUCCGGUGAAAUUGAAUACUAGGUGAAAAUGCCUAAUUAGAACAGCGGGACGGAAAGACCCUAUGCACCUUUACUAGAACCUUAUAUUGAUUAAAACUACUAAUAAUUUUUGGCAGACUUAAUGUAUAUCAGUAAGCCGCUACGACCAUGAUUAUUAAAAUUUUUUUCUCAAAAAAAUCCAAAAGAUCUCUUUUUUAUAUUGUAAGGAUGCUAGUUUCACUGGGGCGGUGACCUCCUAAAAAGUAACGGAGGUGAGCAAAGGUUUAGUUAAGUAUAUUUUUUUAUACGAGUAUUACAAUGGAUUAAAUUAAGCUUGAUUUAAAAAUGUACGCAUUUUUAAAGGGUGUGCCUUAAGGGCUCGCCUGUCAUAGUGACCCGAUAAAUUUUAUUGAUAAAAUUAUCGAUUAACGGAUAAAAGGUACGCUAGGGAUAACAGGCUUAUAAUUCCUUAGAGUUCCCAUCGACGGAAUUGGUUGGCACCUCGAUGUCGGCUCAUCACAUCCUGGGGCUGAAGUCGGUCCCAAGGGU
rnacentral:rRNA from 1 species